rnacentral:rRNA from 1 species
UACGUAGGGUCCGAGCGUUGUCCGGAAUUAUUGGGCGUAAAGAGCUCGUAGGCGGUCUGUCGCGUCGGCUGUGAAAUCCCGAGGCUCAACCUCGGGUCUGCAGUCGAUACGGGCAAACUAGAGUAUUGCAGGGGAGACUGGAAUUCCUGGUGUAGCGGUGAAAUGCGCAGAUAUCAAGAGGAACACCGGUGGCGAAGGCGGGUCUCUGGGCAAUAACUGACGCUGAGGAGCGAAAGCGUGGGGAGCGAACAGG